UGGGUCAGUGAUGAGUAUGCGUGGGGCAUCUGAAUAAAAUAUUUUUAUUAAACUCAGUCUAUAAAUCUGAGGUCUAU
rnacentral:snoRNA from 1 species